AUGGGGAUAGCAGAUUUGGGCUGCUCAUCUGGACCCAACACCUUAUUGCUCAUCUCCGAGAUCAUAGAUGUUAUCAUACGCACCAAAAGCUGCAGCAUUGGCCUCCACCUGUCAGCAACAACAGAGCUCAGAGUGUUCCUCAAUGACCUCUUCAGCAAUGACUUCAACACCAUUUUUAUGUCACUUCCUGCAUUCUACAACAAACUCAAACAAGAGAAGGGUCCUGAGCUUGGAUCUUUAUUCAUUUCUGCCACGCCUGGUUCGUUUUAUGGGCGGUUGUUUCCGGCCAGGAGUUUACAUUUUGUGCACUCUUCUUCUAGCCUUCACUGGCUGUCUCAGGUCCCUCCUGGCCUCGACAGCAAGGCAGCUGGCGAAGCUUUGAACAAAGGAAAGAUCUACAUAUCCAAGACCAGCCCACAAUGCGUUUUGGACGCAUAUGCGCUUCAGUUUCAUAAAGAUUUUUCAUUGUUUCUCAAGUCCCGCGCUGAAGAAAUGUUUGGUGGAGGACGAAUGGUGUUGUCGCUCAUGGGCAGGCCAUCCUAUGACCCCACAACUCCAGCCAGUUGCUACCAGUGGGAGCUUUUAGCCCACGCAUUGAUGACCUUGGUUUCAGAGGUAUCUACAAUAUUUAGCAUAUAUAGCAACUUACCUUACUUGCAACCCUUCACUUUUUGUUCCUAUAAAUAAUACCCAAUUUUUAUAAGUAAAACCCAUGACUAGGAUCCAACUCAUCAAGUUACCUUAUUAAGCUCAAUAUCUGAUUUAUUAUAAUUUUUUUGAUUGCCAAAAUACCCCUAUUUAUAUUUCAAAGUAUAAUGGGGUGGUGUUUUAAUUUUUGGUUCCCCAAUUUAUUGUGGUGAUUCCUUCUAAAAAUUUUGUCUGCAAUUAAUUAUCUGCUUUAUUAUUAAAAAAAUUUAGGGGCCAUAUGUUAAAGGGAAUGGCAAUCAAACAAAAUGGGGUGAUUAAUUGAUAUGCUAUUAAUGAGGAGUAUUAAUUACAAUUAUGGCAGUUAAUGAAAUGCUUGAAAUAAAUUAAAAAUAAAAUAUGAAGUCUGGUGGCAACGAUGUAAAAACAUAGGAAUACUAUGACCUCUUAUAUCCUACUGGUCAUUUAAAUUUGAAAUUGAAUAGAUUUAUAGAGUGAUGGGUAUAUAUCUAGGAAAUAGAAAAUUUUGAGACCUAUAUUGGAUAAGCCUGAAUAAAUAUUACAAGGAAAAGAUCCUUGAGGGAUUUGUAAACCAAACAUAUUACAAUGAAAAAUAUCAAACCAGAAACAAGUAUGUAAUGAAGAAUGGCAAUUUAAGCUUUUCAUGUUGCCAGAAGAGUAGAAAAAAAACAUCUCCCUUAAGAUGGUCAUUAAAUUUGUUGACCACCUCUCUCAUAGAGGUGCGCUGUAUGUGAGAAGCACGUAUUUAGCAACACCCAUUCUUCUUCUUUUUUCCAUUGCAUUAUCCCAUUAAUGCAUUAGCUUAGAUACUAACUUGUUCUAUGGGUGCAGGGUCUUAUUGCAGAGGAAAAGGUUGAUUCCUUCGACGCUCCCUACUAUGCCCCAUGUGAAGAGGAAUUGAGCUUGGCGCUUAAAAAAGAAGGGUCAUUCUUAAUGGACAGCCUGGAGGCGUUUGAAAUUGAUUGGGAUGGCGGCGAUGGGGAUCAAGAAUUGCAUCACACAUUUGACAUGGUAGGUAGUGGCCAAAAAGUGGCAAAGACAAUAAGAGCCGUGGUUGAGUCAAUGCUCGAAUCUCAUUUUGGAAAAGAUAUAAUGGAUCAUCUGUUUCAAUGCUACGCAGAGCUCGUCAGUAAUCACUUAUCAAAAUCUAGAACUAAAUACAUCAAUUUGGUCCUUGUGAUCGUUAAAAAGGAUUGAUUCCAAAAAACAAAAAAAGAUUGAAUAAUUUCCUUUAUGUUUCCCCAUCUUUUUUUUCAGGUUGGUUGAAUUAUUUUGGAUAACUAUAUAUGUUUGUAACCAGUGCUUCUAGUUGUAUUUAUUUGACAAAUUAUAUAAAUAAUGUAUUGACAAUGAGUGAUAUUAGAGAUGUUUAUGUUUGUAACAGUAAUUCAUUUGUUUUCUACGAAUUUUGUUAAUUCAAAGCAAAUAGGAAAUUUCCAUUAUAUCCAAGCCAUUAUUGAUUGAAAAUUAAUAUAUUAACGAAGUCUAACAAGCACUCCUGGAUAUGGUUUUUGCAAAAAUGGAAAUUCUUACCCACUUGGCAAGUCACUACGUACAAGGCAUGGUGCGGCUAUUAAUAUACUUUUGUUUGUUAUCUAAUCAUAUUAAAACAAACAUCCAUCACUUACAUUGCACGCGAGCUUUUGAUGGUAAUGGCAGCACCGUGAUGUCUUUUUUUGAUGUUACAAAGUGAUAGGUGCCUUGUCAUGUCUGAUUUAUCAAAUCGUGAAGUCAUUUCUCUUGCUCAAGAAUAAAAGGACCCUUCCCAACCCCCGACCCCAAAAAUAUAUAUAUAUAUAUAUAUAUAUAUAUAGUCCCUUUCUAUUGAGAGAUUUCUCAAAUAAAAUUAUUUGAGGGACGCCCUUUAGGGUACCAUACAAUUUUUUUCCCAAUGAUCCAAACCAUCUAUUUUUUAGGUCUUCAUUCAUAGAUCAUCCUUACAAAAAAUUAGACAAAUCGGAAACCGUUUCGACAUCCAAUUGUGUCUUACAAAAUCAAUGAACACGGUGCUUCAAGAAAAUGCUAAAAUUUCAAUAACUUAAUUGAGUGGUCAAAUGAUAUCUGAUUCAAGUGGUUUUUUGUAGAGAUGAUCUUUGAAUGAGUAUCUACAAAAUAGACGGUUUGGAUUAGUGAAAUACAAUCCGGAGUGGGGCCUACAAAGAGUGUCCCUCAAAUAAGCUUAUUUGAGAGAUCCCUCAAUGGAAGCUUUCAAUAUAUAUAUAUAUAUAUAUAUAUAUAUAUAUAUAUAUCCAAGACCUUAGCCUUCAGGUAAAGCUUAAUAGAAUGUUUAUUCAAAUAAAGCCCAAUAACUCAUAAAUGGGCUUUCUAUUCAUCUUAUGGGCUUUUAGGCCCAAAUAUUUGCGAACACCGUCAACGGCUUUUUGAUAGAGCAUGGUGAAGCAUGUAUUGUAUUGAAGCAGCCACUAUUAGAGCAAUUCCAACGGCCCUUAGCAAUGGGGGGCCUGGGCCCAAAAAUGACUUCCAGCGGACAAAUAUUGCCAGGGUUGUUGGUGGGCUCCGCAAGCCAAGGCUGGCCCUCAGGCAAAAUCAGCCCUUGUUCUAGUUUGGAUUUGUUGACGUCAGCAACGAAAAUUUUAAAAUAAAUAAAUAAAUACUAAACAUUUUAGAAUUUUUUUUAAAAUAAAUACUUGGUUAUAUUUUUCACUUCCCACAUCAAAACUCUAUACAAAUUAUUCUCCUCAUAUCUCAUGUGAAUAGUGGUUGCCAUGACAAUGAGUGUAAACACCACAAGCCUUUUGCAAGGGCCGCCACUAUUCACGUAAAUAGUAAUAGCUCUUACCUCCCCUUGCCUUUUGUCAUGGCAAAUAGAUGGAAGUGCUCUUAUUAUUAGAGCAUUUCCACCCGUUGGACUUGCCAGGGCAAAAGGCUCCCUAGCUUCAAAAACACUCUCCAGUGAUCAAAUUCAGGCUUAGUUUGGGGUUGCUGUGUAUAUUUAAAAUUUUAUGACUUUAGGUGUUUGGUAAAACAAGUGAAGCCGAUUUUUUUCAAAAUCACGAGUCAAUGACAACAUAUUUGAGAACCGGGUGGCGAGGUGCUUUUAAAAUAUGCUUCUUUUUGAAGCAUGCGGAGCUUUUAAUGAAACUUUCAUAAUCCCUAUACUACCCUCAUAUGUUUUCAAAAAAUUACAUUUUUUUGCCAUAAUUUCCACUUCUCCAGAGUUCACGCCUCCUCAAUCUCCAUUUUUAAAGCUUCCUGAGGUCGAUUCUCAGAAAGAAAAGUUUGAGAAAUUCUUCUAGAAAAAGUGUAGUGAUUCUUUAAAAAUUUGUUUGCUACUCUGUGAAGGAUUAGAUGAAUCAUGAAAUCUACAUAUAUCUUUCUCUUUGAAGAAGGUGCUCUCUACUCAUUAUUAAUGUUAAUACAAAUAUCUUCAUCUUCUCUCAAAAUAGUUCAUAGUGUUGGUAGAAUUUUGAUUCUGGGCAUAAACAACAAGUGGGUUUGUUGAUGUCAAGAUAUAAGGAGUUAUUUUUUACAUCAAAAAACUUGUCUCAACAGUUUGGGUUGGUGAGCUUUGCUUAUAUACUUCGAAAAUGUAAUGAAGCUGCUCACUUGGUUGCAUCUUUUGUGAGUCGAGUUAGGGGUACCCACUUUUGGGACCUUGUAUGGCCAGAAUGGCUCUUUGAUGUCUUGACUGUUGACGUGAGUCUCCUAAUUAAUCAAGGAGAUUUAUUUCCUUGAUUAAUAAAGGAAUUUACUUUUUCCUUGAUUAAUAAAGGAAUUUACUUUCCCAUUUUAUUUAGUUGACAAAUCUUUGUAUAAUUAAGAGCUACUGUCCUAAUUGAUUACUGUAUCUAUUUUCUUGUAAAGCAUUCAUGUAAACUCUUAUAUAUCUUCUUAUGGAGAAGAAUAUAAUUCAACCUAAUACAUUCAAACCAUAUUCAUAUUUUAGCAUGGUAUCAAAGCAAUCGAUCUUAGGUUGUCUCUAAACCCUUAUCUCAAAUUUCUCAAAUUUCUCAUAUUCAAAUCCAAAACCCUAAAUCAAAUUCCUCAUAAUUUUCCUCAAAUCCAAAUCCAUCAAAUCUAAAGUCUUCAAAUCCUCUUAUCCAAAUCCUUAAACACAUACCCUCAAAUCUAUACACAUACCUCUUAAAUCCAAUUCCUCACAUCAAAUUCCUCACCUUCUCAUAUCACAUCUUACUUCCGCUGCGAUGUCAGGAACCCCUACGAUUCUUCAUCUUAUUACAGACUCACAUAAGCAUGCGGUCAAUCCUGCUGACCCUGCUACCCGGACUCCUACUUCUAUCACCACUACCAAAGGUUCUACUUCAUACGUCCUCCAAAAACUCCGCAUGGAUUAUUGACUCGGGCUCUACGGAUCACAUGACAUUUGAUCCUGGCCAACUUAUUAAUCGCAAAUCAUCCACUCCGUCGGUGGUAUCUAAUGCUAAUGGUACCUUCUCCCCUGUGGUUGGGGAGGGCUCUCUAUCUCUCUCUACUUCCCUACAUCUAGAUUUUGUAUUACUUGUUCCAUCUUUGUACCAUAAUUUGUUAUCUGUUGCACAAAUUACUACUACUUUGGGGUAUACUGUAACAUUUUGGCCGAAUCAUUGUGUUUUUCAUGACAUCCUCAUAGGAACGACGAUUGGUUGUGGUACUCGGCGGGGCAAACUCUAUUACUGGGACUGGGCACCGAAUAGUGAGGUCAAGGGUGGUCAAGCUUUCACAACCAGUGGAACUCGUCCUAAGGGGGAGAGAGACAAAAUUUGGUUAUGGCAUAAACGUCUUGGGCAUGCCUCGUUCAGUUAUCUUAAGAAGUUGUUUCCAUCAUUAUUUUUCAGUCUUGAUGUUUCUAGCUUCUAGUGUGAUACGUGUGAAUUAGCUAAGAGUCAUCAUGUCCCGUUCCCAUUAUGUUCAAAUCAGAGUUUGGUUCCAUUUUUUCUUGUUCAUUCUAAUGUUUGGGGACCUGCUAAAAUUGUCAUUCUAGCAAGGGCGCGAUGGUUUGUUACGUUUAUAAAUGAUUGCACACGCAUGACUUGGGUUUCCCUUCUCAAAACAAAAUGAGAAGUUAGUUCCAUGUUUCAACAGUUUUAUCAAAUGGUGGAGACUCAAUUUCAUGCCAGAAUUCAGGUUCUUCAUUCUGACAAUGGCGGAGAAUUUCUUAAUCAUGAUCUUAACCAGUUCUUACAAGAUCACGGCAUCAUACAUCAAAGCUCAUGCCCUUACACUCCCCAGCAUAAUGAGGUGGCUGAAAGAAAGAGCAUACGCUUAUUGGAAGUCGUUUGUGUCUCUCUCUUUGGUGCCAAUAUGCCACGAUCAUUUUGGGACGAAGCCGUCAUCUCUGCAGCAUACCUUAUCAAUUGGAUUCCCUCUAGUAUCCUAAAUUUUCAAACACCACUUCAAACACUUCACCAUCAUAUCCAAACACCUCACACCCCAAACCUGGAACCCCGAAUUUUUGGCUGUGUUGUAUUUGUCCACUUACAUGAUCACCAACGAAGCAAAUUGGAUCCCCGAGCCUAAAAGUGUGUUUUCAUUGGUUAUGCACCUCAUCAAAAAGGAUACCGGUGUUAUCAUCCUCCUAGUCAGAAAGUUUAUACUUCUAUGGAUGUUGUGUUUCGAGAAAACGACAUAUAUAUUUUUCAGCUACACAGGAGGAGCAUUACGACACCAACACUUCUCAAAUUUUUGAUUUUUUUCCUCCAAAAUCGUCCCAGCCUGAUAACGACCGGUCACUUAUGACUCUGCUAGAAAACAACCGGUCGUAGCUUGGAAGCGACUGGUCUUGCUGUCCAACUCAGGAGGAGGAAACUGAUGAGAUUUUGCCCACUUCGGAGACUUCUUCAGCUCCAGUACCACACCAAUCACCUGAUGAGGAUGUCAUUCAUGUAACAUCUUGUCCUGAAAUUGAUAACAUUAAUGAAAUAUCUCAUGAUAAUUUGAUUUUAGAAGGCAUAGAGCCUGCAUAUCAGAUUCCAAAAUGGAAGAUCCGUGACAAACCUCUAGUACACUACGAAGUAGAUCUUAAUGCCAAAGGAAAAUAUCUCAUCAACAAUUAUGUAUCCAUCAGCAGAUUAUUAGAGUCACGGGUACACUUUGUGAAACAGUUGGCCGACAUACCUGUUCCCAACAAUGUAACUAAAGCACUAGAAGACGAAAAAUGAAAAGAAGCCAUGAAUGAAGAAAUGUGAGCUCUCCAGAAGAAUGGCACAUGGGAACUCGUGCCAUUACCUUAUGGAAAGAAGACAACGGGAUGCAGGUGGAUUUAUACUGUGAAACUCAAAGCAAAUGGAUCCAUUGAAAGAUAUAAAGCUAGAUUGGUGGCGAAGGGGUACACACAAAGAUAUGGGAUAUACUGCCAAGAGACCUUUGCCCUAGUAGCCAAGAUUAAAACUAUCAGAGUACUUCUGUCUCUAGCAGCAAAUCUCAAUUGACCAUUACAUCAGUUUGAUGUAAAAAAAUGCAUUCUUACGCGGAGACUUGGAAGAAGAAGUAUAUAUGAACUUACCACCAUGAUGUAAUUUAGCUCGUGACAAGGAGGGUUAAGUUUGCAAGCUCAGAAAGUCAUUAUAUGGGUUAAAAGCAAUCCCCCAGGGCAUGGUUUGACAAAUUCACUAAAUCCAUGAAGAAUUUUGGAUAUAUACAGAGUAAUGCAGAUCACACUUCAUUCUUGAAGCGUGAUGGAGGAAGACUUACUGCAUUGAUUGUUUAUGUGGAUGACAUAGUCAUAAUUGGAAACAAAACAAGAGAGCAACUGAAACUAUAGAAGUAUUUGUAUUAGGAAUUUGAGAUGAAGGAUUUAGGUAAUCUGAAGUACUUUCUAGGAAUUGAAGUAGCCAGGUCUACAACUGGUAUAUUUCUAUCUUAAAGGAAGUAUGUAUUAAAUCUGCUCACUGAAACAGGAAUGCUUGAAUGCAAACCUGCUGAUACACCCAUCGAGAUGAAUUACAAGUUAUGUGAAGACAUGGAUCAAGAACCAACCAAUAAGAAAUAGUACCAAUGCUUUAUUGGAAGCUUGAUAUAUUUAGCCCACACAAAACCAGAUAUUACAUAUGUUGUGAGUGUGGUUAGUCAGUUUAUGCAUUCACCCAGUAUAUCCCAUAGGAAUGCAGUUGAUCAGAUCUUAAGAUACUUAAAGUCAGCACCUGAGAAAAGAUUAAUGUUCUCAAAAAAUAGAGAUCUCGAAAUUCUUUGAUAUACAGAUGCUGAUUAGGCUGGCUCCAUUACUGAUAGACGCUUUACUUCAGGUUACUAUACCUUCGUAAGAGGUAAUCUAGUCACUUAGCUGAGUAAAAAACAAAAUGUGGUUUCUCGGUCUAGUGCAGAAGUAGAGUAUCGAGGAAUAAUUCACGGAGUUUGUGAACUAUUGUGGAUCAGAAGACUAUUGACAUAAUUGAGUUUCAAGCCAGAAAAGCCAAUGGAGUUAUAUUAUGAUAACAAAUCAGCCAUUGACAUUGCCCAUAAUCCAAUUCAACAAGAUCGUACCAAACAUGUUGGACAUUUUAUCAAAGAGAAGAUUGAGAAGAAGAUCAUCCGCCUACCAUUCGUAAAAUCAGAAGAUCGAUUGGCAGAUAUCUUAACAAAAUAUGUUUGUGGCAGAGUAUUUCAUGCCUCACUUACCAAGUUGGGCAUUGGUGACAUAUAUGCACCAACUUGAGGAGGAGUGUUGACGUAAGUCUCCUAAUUUAUCAAGGAGAUUUAUUUCCUUGAUUAAUAAAGGGAUUUACUUUCCCAUUUCAUUUAGUUGACAAAUCUUUGUAUAAUUAUGAGAUACUAUCCUAAUUGAUUACUGUAUCUAUUUCCUUGUAAAGCACUCAUGUAAACUCAUAUAUAUCUCCUUAUAGAGAAUAAUAUAAUUCAACCUAAUACAUUCAAACCAUAUUCAUAUUUUAGCAUUGACUAAACAUGUAAACCUUUCUAUUCGCUUAUAAUAAACUUUCCUAUGGUUUGAUAUAUAUGAAAUAUUCUACUUAUCUUUUUCAACUUUGAAAUCUAUGAUAUGGAGAAAUAGGAGGAGAAAAAAGAAGAAGGAAAAGAUAGUAUAUUGGGAGAAAAAACAUGGGUGAAUUUAAUUUGAUUUUUGUUUUCUUAAAUUAGUUGUUAAUUAUUGUUGUACUAUUAUUUAACGUAAGAAGAAACAAAUAGGGACAUAGUUGAAACUUUCCAAAACUUAUUGAAAAAGAGCCUUUUCUUUCAUCAAAUAAAAGGUGCACAAUGCACAAUGGGCUUCAAUAAUUAAAGGUUGGAAUUCUGCGUCAGUAGUAGUAGAUGGCAAAUGCAUGGUUGGAAAUGCAUGAACAACUCUUAUUUUCUUAUACAAGCUACUUCUCUGACUUUUUUUGGGUCCCCAACCCAAAAUCAACUCCAGAUCUGCAAAUCUCCUCGUUUAUCUGUUGCGAAGUCCAACAAUACGGAUUCGUUACGAAACUGAAUUUUUGACCCUGCGAUUCUCAUUGUUGAACGUACAAUUAAAAAUUCAAUUCCGUAACAAAUCUGUAUUGUUGAACUUCGGAGAAGCGCCCAGUACAUACUGCCACUGAUGUGCGUGUAUAUAUACACGCGCGCUACAUGCAAUUGGUUACAUUUCCCGUUGUUUAUGCCAUUGGUUUUGAAAAAUGAAACACAUGACAACCGAGAACAUGGACGAGUUGCUUAUAUAAAUAAGCAGCAGCAGCAGCAGACGUGAAGGUUUUAAUUACUGAUGAGUAGGUAGGUACUUGUGAGGAUAGAGACAAGAGAGAGAGAUGGAGGUGAACCAAAUACUUCACAUGAACAAAGGAGAUGGCAAGACUAGUUAUUCUCAAAACUCCCAAGUGCAGGUACAAAUUAAUUUAACAGAAUUAUUAUAUUAUUGGCUUUCCAUCUUUAAUUCAUUAACUUCUUAGCUCCUCAAUCCAUAUUAUUAUGAUCAUUUCAUUAUAAUUAAAUUUUAUUUUUGUAGGGCAAAAUAUUAUCGGUUGCAAAGCCAAUCAUUCAUGAAGCCGUGCUAGAAAUAUUGAUCUCAAAUAAUAUAGAGAGCAUGGGGAUUGCCGAUUUGGGUUGCUCAUCUGGACCCAACACCUUUCUGCCCAUCUCCUACAUCAUGGAUGCCAUACAUGCGAAGCGCAGCAGCCUCGGCCUCCAGCUGUCCCCAUCAUCAACAACAGAGUUCAGAGUGUACCUCAAUGACCUCUUCAGCAACGACUUCAACACCAUUUUUAUGUCACUCCCUGCAUUCUACAACAACUUGAAACAAGAGAAAGGUCCUGAAUUUGGUUCGGUCUUUGUUUCUGCCGUGCCCGGUUCGUUUCACGGUAGGUUGUUUCCGGCCAA
rnacentral:lncRNA from 1 species